GACGAACCGUCCGAACGUUAUUCGGAAUCACUGGGCUUACAGAGUUCGUAGGCGGUCCGGUAAGUUAGAUGUGAAAUCCCUUGGCUUAACCAAGGAACUGCGUUUGAAACUACCAGACUCGAGGGAGAUAGAGGAAAGCGGAACUGAUGGUGGAGCGGUGAAAUGCGUUGAUAUCAUCAGGAACACCGGUGGCGAAGGCGGCUUUCUGGGUCUCUUCUGACGCUGAGGAACGAAAGCUAGGGGAGCGAACGGG
rnacentral:rRNA from 1 species